rnacentral:rRNA from 1 species
AUUGAACGCUGGCGGCAUGCUUUACACAUGCAAGUCGAACGGCAGCGCGGACUUCGGUCUGGCGGCGAGUGGCGAACGGGUGAGUAAUAUAUCGGAACGUGCCCGAGAGUGGGGGAUAACGAGGCGAAAGCUUUGCUAAUACCGCAUACGAUCUCAGGAUGAAAGCAGGGGACCGCAAGGCCUUGCGCUCACGGAGCGGCCGAUGGCAGAUUAGGUAGUUGGUGGGAUAAAAGCUUACCAAGCCGACGAUCUGUAGCUGGUCUGAGAGGACGACCAGCCACACUGGGACUGAGACGCGGCCCAGACUCCGACGGGAGGAAGCAGUGGGGAAUUUUGGACAAUGGGCGCAAGCCUGAUCCAGCCAUGCCGCGUGCAGGAUGAAGGCCUUCGGGUUGUAAACUGCUUUUGUACGGAACGAAAAGACUCUGGUUAAUACCUGGGGUCCAUGACGGUACCGUAAGAAUAAGCACCGGCUAACUACGUGCCAGCAGCCGCCGUAACAC